AGGACGUUCUCACUGAAUCACGCACGAGACGAGGACGUUCUCACUGAAUCACGCACGAGACGAGGACGUUCUCACUGAAUCACGCACGAGACGAGGACGUUCUUACUGAAUCACGCACGAGACGAGGACGUUCUCACUGAACCACGCGCGAGACGAGGACCUUACCCUUUACAGCUCUCUGGCAGUGUUAGAGGUGAGAACACGACCUCCCUGCAUCACAUGACUUUCAAGCAACAACUCUAUUGAAAAUGAUCUGCAAGUCUCAAGACUCCCAGACUCACCAAACGGAAACAGAAGAGCUCUUUAAGGGCUGGAGUGACAUGCCAAAUGCUACUUGAACCCUGCUUGACCUGUGAACUUUAGGCUGCCCGCCCCCGUCUCUCUGUGCUGCUGGUGGGAGGGGUAGUUCAGUACUGCGUGUGAUUCCUCAGUUCAUUGCACACCGAGAGAAGGCCUGCCAGGGAGUCUCUCUCCUGUCUUCUUUGUGGGAAGCUAAGCAAACUGCUACUGUGGGACUACCAAGUUUUCCCAUACAAAAUGUGCAAAUGAAGUUACAAAAGCAGCCUAGGCAAGGUGUCUGUCUUCAUCCACAGCUGCAAACACUCCAGAGUUUCAACAGAUACAGGCUGAAAAAGUCCCUUGGGUCGACACUGUCAAUACCUUGAAGGGUGAGACUGCCACAGGACCAGAGCAAGAGAAGUUAUGUGUCUCGGACGAAGGGCCUGGCAGCAGAGGUCAUGGACUGACUCUCUUCCCCUGUCCAGGAGAGCUGUUGGUUAAUUCCACACCACUCACACUGUGUUAAUGCCAUUUCUAUAGAGGUGAGACUUGCGUUACACCUUUGUGACCGACACACUGCGGUUGGGUGUAGUGCGACAAAGAAAACACAGUUAGCAGAUCAAGGAUCUAUUAAGUCAUACAAAAGAGUAUGUCCUGCUGUUCUAUACAAGCAUAAAAAAAGAGACAAAAACACACA